GCUAUUGAAAAAAAAUGCUGCGAAAGAGAGUGGAAAAAAAAUCAUACAUGGUGAUGGGAUAGAAAAAAACUUGCACAUAAUGAUCCCAGAAAAAAACUCCCUGCCAGCAGUAAAUCACCCCCUCCCCCCCUCAAAAGUUAAAUGGUCGGCCCCUCAAUUCAUUCGUUUCUUAAUAGUUUUGUCUUUUUACUGUAAAAUGACUAAAGUAAAAG